AAAGGUUGAUCCCUGGUGCAACCCCAUCAUGAACGGGUGAGUCACUUCCCACCAUACUUACCAGAGUCUUGGCUCCACUGUACGUGUCCUUAAUUGCCUUAAUAUGCACACCUCUAGACUCCAAACAAGAAGCACCCAAAAGGGAAUGGUCAUUCUCUGCAAUAGAAUGCUAAAUCUGGUAAAUGGAUCGACAAACUAACUUUGCAACAGAAUUUAUUCAAGUGUCAUCAAAUGACCAAGAUAAGACUAUAAAAUCACCUUUCAAACAGCAAUAACACAGAUCUAGAAGUAGUGAAAAGAAUUCAUUAAUUGCUAUGAAGGGGGAGACAGUUGAGCAUGAAAACUGAGAAGUAACAACUGUCAAGAGCCAAGGAAAGCCCUAGAAUGAGGUUUCUUUCUUCAGCAAAGUCCUAGAACAAAGCUCACUAGGGUCUCAAUAUAAUGAAACAGGCACAUCGAAGUUUCCAAAUCAUCCUACAUUUUCUUUCAUCCUCUCUUUCGAUAUGUAGGAAGAUGACAGUAGGACACUGAAUUUUAUGAAGGGUCUCAAAUUUAUUACCAAAUCUGGAUCACAUUUUAAGUUCUAACUAGUCCCUUCACCUAACUUCCAGAUUUGUAAUCUCUCACCACUCUCAGACGAGACACAUAUAUUAUUGAUGCAGUUUUAUUAUGAUCUCACUAAACCAAUUUACAUGGACAUUUGGUACUGAAAAUGCAUACAUUCAAUUUCUAUCAGGUCAUUUAUCUAUUAUUGAGAAUGCAUAUUAUGUACCUAAUCCAUAUCUAUAGACAAAUAAGUGUCAGACCAACAGAGGAUCUAAUAUCUCUGGUAUAUUUCAAGCAGGAAGGACCCAUUUUAACAAAAAGCAUUGGCCUUAAUGUAGAAUAGUUUUGCAGAUGUAUGUUAUCUUAUUUACCACCCCACCUGAUAUUACAUUAAUGAGAGCAGAAAGCAGUUCUAGGAAAUGCAUGGGGACAUCAUUGACUUUUUACUUUUUUUUUGUUAAAGUUAUAGAGCCACAAAUUUGUCUUUUCUUUUGCCCAAAUGCGAGCGAUUUAGUCUUCCAGCAGCAAAUUAAGAGCACCCACAAAAUUCCUCUUGCAAUAAAACUAGUCAAAAAAAAAUUAUAUAGAGAGAGAGAUAGAUAGAUAGAUAGACAACAAGUAGUCACAAAAAUUAUUGAAGCACAUCGACAAAUCUAUGCUUCAGAGUUGCAUAACGAUAGAGAUUUACAUCUACAAAUCUAUGCUUCAAAGUUUCACAUUGAUAGAGAUUUGAGUAAUGCUUCAAAGUUGCAUAUCGAUAAAGAUUUGAGUAAGUUGUGGGCGUCUGCUUUUUAGCCUUCUAGUUGAUAUUCAACUAUUCAUACAGACACAUUUGUGCAUGUUUAUCAUGUAGCCUAGAAAAUUUUACAGAUGAUUGUUUAGUCCAAAUGGUUGCAGGCAUAAUCUAUCGGUGAAACAACUCUAUCUCAUAGGGGUUUCAUUGAAUAUCAGCUAAGCCUAGAAUACAGUAUGUAUUAUGAUCAUUACAGAAUCAUGUAAUGGGAAGAUAAGGUGGAAUGGCCAAAAGUUUUCUUAAAAUUCAUUGGCAGACUGAUCACACACAAACUUCUGUUUUCUAUUUCAGCUAAUAAAUUUGAGAAGCGAAAGAAAAAUCAUAGAUCCUGUCCAGUAGGAAGAUUUGACCGAAAAUUAGGCCACUAAAGAAUAACAGCAAACUGAGCCACUAGAGUUCAGAAGGAAACAGUGUGAGAAAUGGUUCUUGAAAACAUAAUUAAGUAAUUAAAAGUAGAUGAGAUGGUCACACGCUUCUACCUAGUAUCAGAGCAAACAAAGUUCCUGCAAUUGAGUUUUAUCGCCAGUAUCGAAACAAAUUUCCACAUGCUUGUCCCAUGAAAAUGAACGCAGUGAAGACAUAAUUAAGUAACUCUCUCGAAUAGCUUAGGCUUUUAGAUGACAUGUUCGCACACUUUAACAGCUGCUACCCUUGGAGAUUCAAUAGUUUGUUUGCAUUUCCAUAAUAAGAUGAAUCUGAAGGAUCUUCAGUAAUCGAAACAAUUGUUUGGUUAUGCAUUCUUGCUACUUGAUAGAUGAUAUCUCCAGAUAGGUUUUUUAUUCUUUGAGGGAAAGGAAUUCAGAAAUGGUAACGUGUAUGGUCAUGUUACCCACAAACCUCUAAUCUAAGACAAUUGAACUUCAUAGAAGCAAAACUGUAUGUUCAAGAAGUGACCUGAUCAUCAUGAAGGGAAGGGAUAGUUGCUGAUUAUAGACCUGAACCCAAUGUGUGGUAUUAAGAUUUUAUGCUCAUCCUAUUGGAAACAUUUUCAUAAUUGGUUGGUUUGUUCUACAUAUGAUCACUUCUUGCAGUCACAAGAUUAGCUGCUUAUACUUUAGAGAUCAUAGCGAUUAGCUGCUCAUACUUUAGAGAUCAUAGUCUGCUGCAUAGCUGCACAAUAUUUCUCUAGAAGAGUCCUCCUACUGAUCUUAAGACUACAUGACAUGGUGAGAGCUCUGACGUAUUAACAGAUGGCUUCAAAUCGAAGCAAAUAUAGUUGUGUUGUAGCACAGGUUAGACCGUGAUUUCCUACUUUUUUUUUCUUUUUUUGAAACAGUUAACUUUAGUGAUUUCCUACUUAUUCUUGUUUCCUUUUGUUUAGAUUAGUUUCUUUGUUUUUAUUUUUUUGUUGUUUUGUUAUUUUGUAAGAUAAUUUUAUUUAUAAUAUGGUCGCUGAACGAGCGACCAAGCUUGUCUAGUUGACUACCUUUUGUUGUAAAAAACGCGCAAAAAUGAGGCGCACAAGCACUUUGGCACUUCGUGUGACCUCAAGCGAGGCUUGGUAUUAGUGGACGUUUUACAAUUCCUUUUUACAAUUAUAAUUUAGUCUGUCACAGUCCUCUAGACCAUAUUUAUGGCAAAUAGCCAAGAAAAUAUGGAAAUAAAGGGAGCAAAUCAAAAUUUCCAAAAAAAUGAAAAGAAAGAUCAAUGGGAAUUAUAAGGCCAGACAAGUUGAAGUAUUGCAACAAAAAGAGACAAUCAAUUAAACCUGGACAGCUGCAACGGAACAAGUCUUUCUCAUAGAUAGCUUCUUCGCUUUUCUGUUUCUUUCUCUCAUAUCUUCUUUCUU
rnacentral:lncRNA from 1 species